rnacentral:rRNA from 1 species
AUUGAACGCUGGCGGCAUGCCUUACACAUGCAAGUCGAACGGCAGCACGGGUGCUUGCACCUGGUGGCGAGUGGCGAACGGGUGAGUAAUACAUCGGAACGUACCUUAUCGUGGGGGAUAACGCAGCGAAAGCUGUGCUAAUACCGCAUACGCCCUGAGGGGGAAAGCGGGGGAUCGAAAGGCCUCGCGCGAUUAGAGCGGCCGAUGCCUGAUUAGCUUGUUGGUGGGGAAAAGGCCCACCAAGGCGACGAUCAGUAGCUGGUCUGAGAGGACGAGCAGCCACACUGGGACGGAGACACGGCCCAGACUCCUACGGGGGGCAGCAGUGGGGAAUUUUGGACAAUGGGGGCAACCCUGAUCCAGCAAUGCCGCGUGAGUGAAGAAGGCCUUCGGGUUGUAAAGCUCUUUUGUCAGGGAAGAAACACCGGCUCUAACACAGUCCGGGAAUGACGGUACCUGAAGAAUAAGCACCGGCCAACUACGUGCCAGCCGCCGCAGUAA